rnacentral:lncRNA from 1 species
AAAAGCCCAAUUUUAUUUAAGGCUAAAUCGAUAUUGCAAAGUCAAUGGCCAAGAAUUUCUUGAAGACAAGGAAAGCCACUGGCACUUCUGAGGUCCGGAGGAGAAAGCCAAAGAAGAAAAACAAGAGUGUAUUAGAGGGCAAUAAAGCUACUGAAGAUAAUGCUAACAAGCUAAAUUCAAGGAAAGAAAACCAACAAGAGGAUGCUACAACCAGUGCAUAGUGCGUAGAGAAGAGCUAGCAGAUACAAAAGAAUGAAGAAAAUACACAUGCAUCAGAUGUCCAGGAAAAUAGCUGUACGUUAAAUGACAGUCCCAAGAAGAGAAGAAUGGAAAAGGAGACCAGCUUUUUGAAUAAAAACUAAAAGAAUGAAGAAAAGCAGGAUGGUAAGAAAAAGAGAAAAUGGAAUGAGCAGAAGGAAAACACAGUAGUUCAGAGAAGAAUAACAAG